rnacentral:lncRNA from 1 species
UGGCUUGCUGGGCAAAGGCUUCGAUUGCCGCGGGUGGCGAGGAUCUGGAGACAAACAUGCUGUCUCUGUUCCAAGCUGGCGAAUUCUUGUCCGUGAUCGACUCUGGAAUCUAUGCGCACAGGUUUGAGCCUGUUUAGAGAGGUCGAUUGGGCGAGACUGACCUUGGAGAGGUAAUGCAGUGCGUAGCUCGUCAUUGCAAAGUGGAUAGAGGAACGAGGAAAGAGCCUGCCAUAGAACGACCCGGGAACCCCACUAAAGAAGUAUGGCUCACCUUGGGGAUGUGGGACUAGAGCGAAGAGAGUGUUGAAGUCAUUGACUGCCAGAUCCGAGAAGAUGGCCUGGAUCUCCAGAGGUUUUCGAUCGCCCACUUGCUCUCGCAGCCGGGUUAUCUCUCGGGCCACGAAGUCCAAGGCCUGGAUCGUGUUGGAGCCGUGGGAACAUCCCAAGUCGGCAAUUUGAAUCACAUCCAAGGAGGAAUCGAGGAAGAGAGGAGCACUACUCGCGAUGGCUUGCUCGAUUGCGGCGUGGACGCUGCUGAAUCCUUGAGCCUGAAGACCGGAAUUGCGAUGGUAGCUAUCCUUUCCAGAGCCGCCUUCCAUCGCUACGAACACAUGCUAGAUUGCCAAUCAUAGCCGUGGCACUAGAUUAGAGUAAAUAACAAGGUUUAGUGCGCGGGAAAGAGGCUAGGAUUUGGGAUGGGCGAAUUCACUCGUUCGGGAUGAGGGUGCUGGCCUGCCCCUGCGCGACAUUGUGGGCGGCGACGCACACCAAACCCAGCGCCGCCACCACCACCCUCGUCUCCUCCACCGCCACCACCGCCCAGGUACUGUCUCUCCAAUGCGGACAGCCAGCGCCGCCAGACAUCUGUGAUCAUCACCAUUAUUCCAGGGGAUUCUCGCUGCCUAGGGUUCUUGAGCUUGGGCAUCUGGAUCGCGAUGAUCCAGCAGAGAAGGAAUUGGAUCUACCAGCGUACAGAAAUCUCAUCCAGAGAAGCAGCGAUGCCAAGAGCGCGCUCAAGCUCUACUGGCGCGCGCGCCAGCAAUUCCUGGGCGUGGAAUCCACAGGGAUCCCUCCAGACGGCAGUGAUCGAGAGUGGGCGCCUCCUCCACCCGGCGAUCACCUCGCCGAGACGUGGAAUUCGAUCGAGGAGAUGGGCGUGGCAGUGCUGGAGCUCUGCCUAGUGGCACUGGCCAGCGGAUUGGCAGGCGGUGAGAACCGCUACGUUCUCAAGAAGCUCUUCCUCAAGAUGCAGUACGCGUAAUCUCCAAGUUCCAGUGCCGCCGCUUACUCCUCCAAUGUGGCGGCGCCGCCAACGAUCACGUCCUCCCCCGUGUGCUCUACGCCUUCAUGCGCUGCCGCCGGAUGCUCACCACCGCGCUGUGCAACCACAGCAUCCAGGCCCUGGGUGAGCACGGCAAGUGGUGGGCGGCGCUGGAGAUCUUCGAGACCAUGGCAACGAUCUCACCUGCAAGCUCAUCCGCGAGCAAUUCUCCUUCCUCCUCUGCGCCGCCAAGAGGAAAAAGAACUCGCUGGAGCUCUUCGCACGGAUGAUCCGGGCGGGCCACGCGCCCGAUGCGCGAUCCUUUGGAUCGCUGCUCAGUUCGAUCGAAAAGGGGCGAUUGGUCUCGAUCCGGGACAUGGAGCUGGUCCUGGAGAGCAUGCGGAGGAGCGGCGUGAGGCCGAUCGAAUCGAUCUACACGACGCUCAUCGCGGCGCACGGCAAGGUCAGCGGUGGUGCCGCCGCUGCCAUUCCCAGGAUCGUGGAGGAGAUGCAAUCACAAGAAGUGGCCAUGGGGCUGGCGAGCUACAAUGCCAUCAUCACGGUGUGCGCGCGCGGCGGCGACGCGGCGGGGGCGGUGGAAUGGAUGCGCAGGCUCGAGGCGGCAGGGAUCGAGCCCAAUUCCAUUACAUAUAACAAGCUGGUGGAGGCGCUGGUGGCAUACGUGGCCAUGGUGGAAUCCAUCACUAAUGCCAUACUCUUCAUCAAGUUUUAUAUCCCACUCCUCUACCUUCCCUAAAAAAGUAUAUUACUCUAAUACUAAUGAAAUGAAUAGAGAGUAAACUUUAGGCUAACAUAUCAUAGGCCAUAGAAUUUUCUUAGAAUAUUCUUGUGGUUUAUCAUUAUUGCCCAUGGCUAUUAAGCUUUAGUAUGUCAUUCUAUUUUAUUAGAUGACCAUUGAUAAAUCAUAGAAUGACUAUUGGAUUCUUAGGCAUAUUCCUAUGUAGUGGAAUAUACUAGGGCAUCAGUCUAGGCCAAAAGGGGAUCUGCCAUGCAGAUUGUGUGUGUGCAUGGGUGAUGGACAACCAUUUUACGAAUACCAUCCUGAUUUUGGGGAUAACAGUACAAGUUUCUGCACAUUUAAACUGUUGGCAACUUCCUUAUAGUCAUUGGUUUUUAGGUCAAAACCAUAGAAGAGUUCCAUUUGAAUCCCUGCCGACUCAACUACAAGCCAUGCACCUUAUGUACUUGUGACUCUAUGGACUUUACUUCUAGACAAUAGCUAAAUAGUCAUCAACAUAUAUGUUAUUACAUAUAAUCUAGAUCAGGAUUAAAAAACCCAGGGACUGGGAAAAACCUUUUAUCUGGGAUGCUUCAUAUUCAUACUUUAGUAUUGAUACCAAGUUUGCCUUCCUUGUUCACUAUGUCAAUGUCAAAAUCCAGCUCAAAUGCCGUUUCACUGUGAUCGCAUUUUUUUGCAAUCCCCACAAGCAUGUUGCCUCCCUUGAGUUGUACAUUUCUGCAUGUUGCCAAGAAGUUCCCUGGUGGUGAUGCCGUGAGCUGCACAAUACCGUCAAUAUUCUGAAAAAAAUAGUUGAGAUCAAUAGAUGAGGGCAGCAACUCUUGUCUUGUAGUUUGGCAUUUAGCGUGCAAUUUCCCAUCCUUAAAGGAAAUGUCUUUGCUAGAUUUGGAGAAGUUGCCCUGUGCACACCCAACAACAUUCUAAAUAAGUGACGAAAGAACAUAGAUCUAUAUAAUCUAACCAUGUCCAAAGUUAUAACAGUUCUCUCUUCAUGACCCCAUUUGUUAAUCCAGUGCUGAAUGUUAUGUUCUAAAACUGAGUCCUUGGUUGCACCGCUGAAAAUGGGCCUCAUGUAAACUACGUCGGUCAGAACCUCAGCCUUGUUGUCUGGGUUUACUCGGAUCCGCCGGCAAGCUGCCUGCUGCCACAGGGACAAACUAUAUGGGCCAAACACAUGCUUCUCACCUGCAAUUUUAAGAAUAACUCUUAAUACAUGUAGUUAGAGGGAUUAUACCAGGUUGAAUCUCCACAUAUCCUUUUUCCUUGAGGCUUUUGGUUAUGAAAAGGGAGAUUUUAAUAGUUGAGCCUACUACUGUGGUUGGAAUGGAGAUCCUUGCUGCUGCUGUAGUAGCUGCAGCAAUCGUCCUAGUAGAAACACCAAACACCCUCACAACCCCAUUGGCGACAAGGCGAGUGGUUAAGGCUGCUCCUGCUCCUCCAAUGAGGCUUACUAUUGAACCCACGAUGGUGGCUAUGCGCACUGCUGCCUGAUCCGGGCCAACCUUGACAACAUAAGUGUCUGUGGUGUUGUUGUAGACAGAAAGAUAGGACCCCAUUGUUCUCGUUUUUUUUUUGGAACCCUUUAUAUGCUCAUGAGUUAGGACAGAGAGAGAGGCCCCAAGCAAGCACUCAAGGAGCUGAUCAACUGCCUCGAAUCUGGAGGAUUUUGCAAGCCAGGUGCUCCUUCUGGCUAUAGCAAACAAGGGCUAGAUUAUGCAAACUAGCCAACAAAGACAAGAUAUCACUCCUUUGCUCAAAUGCUCACUCACUACACACUGGACUGCUGCCCCAACACUCCCCAAUGUAGUAUUUAAAUGCGUUCCUUACCUUAUUCGAUUCUGGCCGAGGUGGACAAUUUCCAGUCGAUGACAUUAUCAAAAUUUGGAUGAGCUAGACAUGGGACCACCUGUGGGUCCAGCUCACGAGCCCAACUAGUGCCUGUGUGGUCCACAUCAUACACUGGCAGUGGCUAUCCUUUUAAUCUCCACAACCCAACCAUGGCCACCACUUUCUACUCAAUAUUUUUCUCCACAAGAAGAUGGGCCUCACAAUGAAUAUGAUAUGGAGCUCAAUGAAAACCAUAAUAUCAAAGAAAUCAUAGUAAUAAUGUUUUUUCUUUCAGAGUUUAAUAGGAAGUUAAACAUCACCAAGAUUUUGACAGCCUGACCUUGGUGACGAGGGCAAGGCACAAAUUACAAAAUGCUCACUUGAUCCUACAAAUUGACCAAUGAUUGUUCCUACUUGCCUUGGUGGAGUGAAGUUACUACUAAUACCCUAGUUCUUGGAUUCUUAUUCCACUUAUAGAGAAGCUAGGAUUUUGUUAACUCACACUAACAAACUGCAUAUAAAAUAGAGUAUAAGUACCAUCAACUAUAUAAAAACAAAUAUCAUAAAAACAUCUCGACUUUUUAGUAAAUAUAUUACAAAGAGAUUAAUAUACAAUGAAAGUCCAAACGGUCUUUCAGAUAUAAGUAGAGGACUAAAACUUUCUCACAUCUAACCAAAACGAAGUGGAAAAUUAAAGAUUUUUUAUCCCAGAAUAUAGUUAUUUAACCUGUAAAUAAAUGGUAUUAAUCAGAAAAGUAAUAAAAUAUUCUCUAAAGUUUGAAAAUUAAUGUGAUGUAGUUGUGAGCUUCUUACUUGAAGAGUGAAUUUAUAAUUCCUCAUUUUGAGUGUUUUAUAAAAUGUUUUUAUAGACUUUCUUUGAUUUAUUUUAAAUUCAUUCUAUUUAACUUUAAAUUCUUUAUUGUUUCUUAUUUUCCAUUUAUGUAUUUGUCACUACUGAAACAAAGAAGAAAUAGAGAAAUAUAAAAAUAAAUAAAACAUCUUGUAAACUUGUAAGCUUUGCUAAUAGUGCUCAAUAAUUAGCUAUUAGCAUGUCUUUAUUCAUGGCUAUAUGUUGGUUAUAUACUUAAGCAUCCUGUGAGUGCUUUGGUUCAUGAUUUCUUAGAAGAUAUGCAAGACAAGCUUGAGUUAGCAAAAUUAAACAUGCCCAAGAACCUAGUGUUUUUCCUCACUAAACUAAACACCAAGCAUCAUCAAGCUUGUAUCUGCAAGUGGUGUAGAAGUGGAUUGGAAGUUAAAAGCCUUGGAGCAGCCCAAGUGCUGGACACUGAGAGGUUUGUUGCUAUGGCUCGUUUGGGUGGUGCCAUCUUCCUUCUCCAUGUCCCUGUGAACUUGAAAUGUGGCCAGAAACUUGGGAUUGUCAGGGAAGGAGAUUUUGGAGGGAUCCAAUUUCUAGGCCUGGCAAAUGCUAUUGUCUAGAAGGAUCUCUUCAAAAAUUCUAAACGUUGACGACUGUGAGACAUAGAUGAUCCAACUGCCGUUGGGGCUCCAGUCAAGGCAAGUGAUAAUGUCGUGGCUGCUAGAGAAAGUGUGGAGCAGCUCAGCUGCAGUGCUUCCCAUGCCACGCGCUCUGGCAGUGGAAGACAUUGCUGGCAGGCUCUCCCAGUGGAGUGUGAGAGUGGGCCUAGCCAAGCUCAAGGACAUUGAUCGUGAAAGUGCUUCCCAAUAGACAGCGUCAUCCUCCAAAUAUUACUUCUUGACGAGAACAAGCAAGACAAUAUCCAGCUCUCCAGAAGGAGACGACACCGUAACCUUGGAUGGCAUUCGCUCAUACAUGAGCUCCACCACUUCCUGGUUGCCAAUGUGCUUCUGGAUGAAGAGCUUUCCAAUACUUGGUUGCCGUGGCAGCAUAGCUGGAAGAUUUUGGAUCCAGCCAAGGAAACUUGAGAUUUUCCAAGUGAAUGACAGUGAAUUGCUGGUCCAGAUGACCUGACCUCGUCCCCACUGCGAAGAUACGCAGGGAAAUUGAAAGUAUCCAAGCUUUCCUGGCUCACAAGCCCCUGCUCACCGUUGACCGGGUCAGCAUAUGUGUUGACUAAACACACACACACACACACAUAGAGAGAGAGAGAGAGAGAGAGAGAGAGAGAGAGAGAGAGAGAUCUUUACCUCUUGGAUGAGAUCCUUCCACACUGAUUGGAAGGGGAAAUCGGCCUCGUUGAGCUCGUGGGAGAGUCUUAUGGGAAACAUCAAGAGGAGGAUGCCUCCGGUGACUAAUUCUUGGGCCCGGCUAUGGAGGAAGAUGGAGAGAUCGUCGCUGGCUUGCUGGGCAAAGGCUUCGAUUGCCACGAGUGGCGAGGAUCUGGAGACAAACAUGCUGUCUCUGUUCCAAGCUGGCGAAUUCUUGUCCGUGAUCGACUCUGGAAUCUAUGCGCAGAGGUUUGAGCCUGCUUAGAGAGGUCGAUUGGGCGAGACUGACCUUGGAGAGGUAAUGCAGUGCGUAGCUCGUCAUUGCAAAGUGGAUAGAGGAACGAGGAAAGAGCCUGCCAUAGAACGACUCGGGAACACCACUAAAGAAGUAUGGCUCACCUUGGGGAUGUGAGACUAGAGCGAAGAGAGUGUUGAAGUCAUUGACUGCCAGAUCCGAGAAGAUGGCCUGGAUCUCCAGAGGUUUUCGAUUGCUCUCGCAGCCGGAUUAUCUCUCACGAAGUCAAAGGCCUGGAUCGUGUUGGAGCCGUGGGAACAUCCCAAGUCGAC